rnacentral:rRNA from 1 species
AUUGAACGCUGGCGGCAGGCCUAACACAUGCAAGUCGAACGAAUGGCGGACGGGUGAGUAAUGUCUGGGAAACUGCCCGAUGGAGGGGGAUACCUACUGGAAACGGUAGCUAAUACCGCAUACCAUCGGAUGUGCCCAGAUGGGCUUAGCUUUGAGGUGAGGUAACGGCUCACCUAGGCGACGAUCCCUAGCUGGUCUGAGAGGAUGACCAGGCACACUGGACAUGAGACACGGUCCAGACUACUACGGGAGGCAGCAGUGGGGAAUAUUGCACAAUGGUCGCAAGCCUGAUGCAGCCAUGCCGCGUGUAUGAAGAAGGCCUUCGGGUUGUAAAGUACUUUCAGCGGGUAGGCGUUACCCGUAGAAGAAGCACCGGCUAACUCCGUGCCAGCCGCCGCGGUAAUAC